GGUGAAGGCCCCAGUGCAGCAGCAACAGCACAUGAUGGAGACGAUGAUGAGGAGGAGACCAUCUCUCUGGAUUCCAGAAGGCAUGAGGACCCAGAUGCUAUACAGUGGGAAAACCAGCCUGGCAACAUAGUGCGUAUUAAUAAAAGGACACCACAUCCUGCCAAAUUCCAGCUGCGCUAAUUGUAUUGUGUUCACAGAGCUCACAAGCUAUCAGAAAGUUGUAUGGCAACCACCUCCGGCGCCAAAUAGAACUGGCAGACAUAGACAUUCAGUACAAGAAGAAAAAGAUAGAAAAUCUUGCACUGGAGUCCGAAAUAAAAAAGAGGACAAUUAGGAAACUGGACCUUGAAAUAAAAAAACUUGCGAGGGAGCUCCAAGAAGAUGACACAGCUCAAAAUAAAAAUUAGCAAUCAGUACAACCAAGUCAUCGUUAUAAGGCAUCGCCCUCUUUUGCCCACCCCCAGCACCAGGUGUGGCCACUAGCCUAUAUGAAGGCCCAAAAUUGUGUGUUCCUUUCUGCUCUGACAAUGGCAUGCCCAUUCGUGCGAGAUGUGGUGGAUGAAGAAGCACUUGUGCUGAGGAGAGCCUUCAGGCGAGAAAGGGUCUUCAGGGACCGGUUGGACCCACUGGCCUUCCCUGAUGACCAUCUAUAUGAAAGAUACAGGUUUUCUGCAGAUGGCAUCAGGUAUCUAUGCAGACUACUGGGUCCCAGGAUUAAGCACCGCACUGCACGGAGCCAUGCACUGAGU